rnacentral:rRNA from 1 species
GACCUGGUACGCUGGUCCGCCUUCACGGUGUGUACUGCUGGACCGGGUUCUACCUCUUGGUGAGCCGGCAUGCCCUUCACUGGGUGUGUCGGGGAACCAGGACUUUUACCUUGAGAAAAUUAGAGUGUUCAAAGCAGGCCUACGCCCGAAUACAUUAGCAUGGCAUAAUAAAAUAGGACGUGCGGUUCUAUUUUGUUGGUUUCUAGAGUCGCCGUA